AGUGAACGCUGGCGGUAGGCCUAACACAUGCAAGUCGAACGGCAGCACAGUAAGAGCUUGCUCUUACGGGUGGCGAGUGGCGGACGGGUGAGGAAUACAUCGGAAUCUACUUUUUCGUGGGGGAUAACGUAGGGAAACUUACGCUAAUACCGCAUACGACCUACGGGUGAAAGCAGGGAAUCUUCGGACCUUGCGCGAUUGAAUGAGCCGAUGUCGGAUUAGCUAGCUGGCGGGGUAAAGGCCCACCAAGGCGACGAUCCGUAGCUGGUCUGAGAGGAUGAUCAGCCACACUGGAACUGAGACACGGUCCAGACUCCUAAGGGAGGCAGCAGUGGGGAAUAUUGGACAAUGGGCGCAAGCCUGAUCCAGCCAUACCGCGUGGGUGAAGAAGGCCUUCGGGUUGUAAAGCCCUUUUGUUGGGAAAGAAAAGCAGCAGGUUAAUACCCCGCUGUUCUGACGGUACCCAAAGAAUAAGCACCGGCUAACUUCGUG
rnacentral:rRNA from 1 species